GACGACGCUGGCGGCGUGCCUAACACAUGCAAGUCGAGCGGGGUGGUUCUGAAGGGCAACCGGAGGGAUCACCUAGCGGCGAACGGGUGAGUAACGCGUGGAUAACCUACCUCAAGGUCUGGGAUAACAGCUCGAAAGGGCUGCUAAUACCGGAUGUGGUGCAUAUGCUGCAUGGUAGAUGCACUAAAGGGGGAAACCCGCCAUGAGAUGGGUCCGCGUCCCAUCAGCUAGUUGGUGGGGUAAAGGCCUACCAAGGCGACGACGGGUAGCCGGCCUGAGAGGGUGACCGGCCACACUGGGACUGAGACACGGCCCAGACUCCUACGGGGGGCAGCAGUGGGGAAUAUUGCACAAUGGGCGAAAGCCUGAUGCAGCGACGCCGCGUGGGCGAAGAAGGCCUUCGAGUUGUAAACCACUUUUGUCAGGGAAGAAACGGUCUGGGUUAAUACCUUGGGCUAAUGACGGUACCUGAAGAAUAAGCACCGGCUAACUACGUG
rnacentral:rRNA from 1 species